rnacentral:rRNA from 1 species
CCUACGGGAGGCAGCAGUGAGGAAUAUUGGUCAAUGGGCGAGAGCCUGAACCAGCCAAGUCGCGUGAGGGAGUACUGCCCUAUGGGUUGUAAACCUCUUUUGUCGGGGAGCAAAAGCCGGACGUGUCCGGCUGUGAGAGUACCCGAAGAAAAAGCAUCGGCUAACUCCGUGCCAGCAGCCGCGGUAAUACGGAGGAUGCGAGCGUUAUCCGGAUUUAUUGGGUUUAAAGGGUGCGCAGGCGGAUUUUUAAGUCAGCGGUAAAAUCGUGGGGUUCAACCCCAUCCAGCCGUUGAAACUGGGGAUCUAGAGUGUGCGAGAGGUAUGCGGAAUGCGUGGUGGAGCGGUGAAAUGCAUAGAUAUCACGCAGAACCCCGAUUGCGAAGGCAGCAUACCGGUGCACAACUGACGCUCAGGCACGAAAGCGUGGGUAUCGAACAGGAUUAGAUACCCUGGUAGUC